CCUGUUUAUCAAAAACAUCGCCUUUAGCUUUACAAGUAUUAAAGGUACCGCCUGCCCAGUGAACCAAUUUUUAACGGCCGCGGUAUCCUAACCGUGCAAAGGUAGCGCAAUCACUUGUCCCCUAAAUAGGGACCUGUAUGAACGGCUAACUGAGGACAUAACUGUCUCCUGAGGCCAACUAAUGAAACUGAUCCUCUGGUACAAAAGCCAGAAUAACCACACAAGACGAGAAGACCCUGUGGAGCUUAUAACCUAACCGCUACUACCAGUGCCAAACCCCUUACGAGGCCCAGCACACGCAACCUAGCCGUCAUUUUAAGUUGGGGCGACUGCGGAGUAAAACAAACCCUCCAAGAUUUCAUAGGCUACAAGACCUCUAAAGCGGCAUACACGCCAACAAGCCACCAAAAACUGACCCAGUACCACUGACUACCGAACCAAGUUACCCCAGGGAUAACAGCGCCAUCCCCCUCAAGAGUCCUUAUCAACAGGGGGGCUUACGACCUCGAUGUUGGAUCAGGGCGCCCUAGCGGUGUAGCCGCUGCUAAA
rnacentral:rRNA from 1 species